CCUUUUCAGGGGGACGAGGAAGGACGGUACCCCUGGAAUAAGCGUCGGCUAACUACGUGCCAGCAGCCGCGGUAAGACGUAGGACGCAAGCGUUAUCCGGAUUUACUGGGCGUAAAGCGUCUGUAGGCGGUUCGAUAAGUUGGGCGUGAAAGCUCCGGGCUUAACCCGGAGAGGUCGUUCAAUACUGUCGAACUAGAGGACAUCAGAGGAGCAUGGAAUUUCCGGUGUAGCGGUAAAAUGCGCAGAUAUCGGAAGGAACACCAGUGGCGAAGGCGGUGCUCUGGGGUGGGCCUGACGCUGAGAGACGAAAGCUAGGGGAGCGAACAGGAUUAGAGACCCUGGUAGUCCUAGCCCUAAACGAUGGAUGCUAGGUGUGGGGCCGAGAAGGCUCUGUGCCGCAGUUAACGCGCUAAGCAUCCCGCCUGGGGAUUACGGCCGCAAGGCUAAAACUCAAACGAAUUGACGGGGCCCCGCACAAGCAGCGGAGCGUGUGGUUUAAUUCGAUGCUACACGAAGAACCUUACCUGGGUUUGACAUGUACGUGGUAGAGAAGCGAAAGCGGAUCGACCCUUCGGGGAGCGUACACAGGUGCUGCAUGGCUGUCGUCAGCUCGUGCCGUGAGGUGUCGGGUUAAGUCCCGUAACGAGCGCAACCCUUGCCCUUAGUUACAAGUGUCUAAGGGGACUGCCGGCGGUAAGCCGGAGGAAGGUGGGGAUGACGUCAAGUCAGCAUGGCCCUUAUAUCCAGGGCUACACACACGCUACAAUGGUCAGUACAAAGGGCAGCGAAGCCGCGAGGUGAAGCGAAUCCCAACAAAGCUGAUCUAAGUUCGGAUUGCAGGCUGCAACUCGCCUGCAUGAAGCUGGAGUU
rnacentral:rRNA from 1 species